UACGAAGGGUGCAAGCGUUACUCGGAAUUACUGGGCGUAAAGCGUGCGUAGGUGGUGAGUUAAGUCUGUCGUGAAAGCCCCGGGCUCAACCUGGGAAUGGCGAUGGAUACUGGCGGGCUAGAGUGCGGUAGAGGAGAGUGGAAUUCCCGGUGUAGCAGUGAAAUGCGUAGAGAUCGGGAGGAACAUCAGUUGCGAAGGCGGCUCUCUGGACCAGCACUGACACUGAGGCACGAAAGCGUGGGGAGCAAACAGG
rnacentral:rRNA from 1 species